rnacentral:lncRNA from 1 species
UUUUUUUUUUAAUUUCAGUCUUUAUUCUUUUAAUUUUUUAUUUUGUUCUUAUUUAUUUUAUAGAAGUUUUUGUUUUCAAUUUAGUCCUUCAACUACAAUUUCUUAUAUGUUUUGUUUUUUUAUUUUGAUCUUUAUUCUUUUGAUUUUGAUUUUUUUUCCUUGACCCUUUUUUAAAGUUUUUUUUUGCUUUCAAUUUCAUUUUUCAAUCAAAAUUUUUGUUGUUUUUUUUUAUUUGACCCUCAUUCUAUUGAUUUUCUUUUUAUUUUAUUUUGUUAAAACUACUUUUCAAUUCAAUUUAACCCUCUAAUUAAAAUAUUUUGUUUGCCCUCUGAUUAUUUUUUUGUUCACCCUAAUUUUUUUAGAUCCUUUUAUGUGAUUGAUUCUUUUUCAUGGUUUCAUCUUUCGACAUUUGAUUUGUUA